CUAAUCUGCGAUAAGCGCCGGUAAGGUGAUAUGAACCGUUAUAACCGGCGAUACCCGAAUGGGGAAACCCAGUGUGAUUCGUCACACUAUCAUUAACUGAAUCCAUAGGUUAAUGAGGCGAACCGGGGGAACUGAAACAUCUAAGUACCCCGAGGAAAAGAAAUCAACCGAGAUUCCCCCAGUAGCGGCGAGCGAACGGGGAGGAGCCCAGAGCCUGAAUCAGCAUGUGUGUUAGUGGAAGCGUCUGGAAAGGCGCGCGAUACAGGGUGACAGCCCCGUACACAAAAGCGCAUGUGCUGUGAGCUCGAUGAGUAGGGCGGGACACGUGGUAUCCUGUCUGAAUAUGGGGGGACCAUCCUCCAAGGCUAAAUACUCCUGACUGACCGAUAGUGAACCAGUACCGUGAGGGAAAGGCGAAAAGAACCCCGGCGAGGGGAGUGAAAAAGAACCUGAAACCGUGUACGUACAAGCAGUGGGAGCCCCACCACCAAAGCAUUCUCUGGUGUUGAAGGCCCUGCAAAGCAGCAUCGCGGUGGCGGAGCGUCGUUUGCGACGCCCAACACACAAAACAAGCGGUGAGUGCUUUGGGGUGGGGUGACUGCGUACCUUUUGUAUAAUGGGUCAGCGACUUAUAUUCUGUAGCAAGGUUAACCGUAUAGGGGAGCCGGAGGGAAACCGAGUCUUAACCGGGCGUUAAGUUGCAGGGUAUAGACCCGAAACCCGGUGAUCUAGCCAUGGGCAGGUUGAAGGUUGGGUAACACUAACUGGAGGACCGAACCGACUAAUGUUGAAAAAUUAGCGGAUGACCUGUGGCUGGGGGUGAAAGGCCAAUCAAACCGGGAGAUAGCUGGUUCUCCCCGAAAGCUAUUUAGGUAGCGCCUCGUGAAUUCAUCUCCGGGGGUAGAGCACUGUUUCGGCUAGGGGGCCAUCCCGGCUUACCAACCCGAUGCAAACUGCGAAUACCGGAGAAUGUUAUCACGGGAGACACACGGCGGGUGCUAACGUCCGUCGUGAAGAGGGAAACAACCCAGACCGCCAGCUAAGGUCCCAAAGUCAUGGUUAAGUGGGAAACGAUGUGGGAAGGCCCAGACAGCCAGGAUGUUGGCUUAGAAGCAGCCAUCAUUUAAAGAAAGCGUAAUAGCUCACUGGUCGAGUCGGCCUGCGCGGAAGAUGUAACGG
rnacentral:rRNA from 1 species